rnacentral:rRNA from 1 species
CAGUCGGACGGGAUCCAUCGGAGAGCUUGCUCGAAGAUGGUGAGAGUGGCGCACGGGGUGCGUAACGCGUGAGCAACCUACCUCUAUCAGGGGGAUAGCCUCUCGAAAGAGAGAUUAACACCGCAUAACAUAUCUGACCGGCAUCGGUUAGCUAUUAAAUAUUUAUAGGAUAGAGAUGGGCUCGCGUGACAUUAGCUAGUUGGUAGGGUAACGGCUUACCAAGGCGACGAUGUCUAGGGGCUCUGAGAGGAGAAUCCCCCACACUGGUACUGAGACACGGACCAGACUCCUACGGGAGGCAGCAGUAAGGAAUAUUGGUCAAUGGGCGGAAGCCUGAACCAGCCAUGCCGCGUGCAGGAUGACUGCCCUAUGGGUUGUAAACUGCUUUUGUCCAGGAAUAAACCUUUCUACGUGUAGGAAGCUGAAUGUACUGGAAGAAUAAGGAUCGGCUAACUCCGUGCCAGCAGCCGCGGUAAUACGGAGGAUCCGAGCGUUAUCCGGAUUUAUUGGGUUUAAAGGGUCCGUAGGCGGUUUAAUAAGUCAGUGGUGAAAUCUGGUCGCUCAACGAUCAAACGGCCAUUGAUACUGUUAGACUUGAAUUACUAGGAAGUAACUAGAAU